rnacentral:ncRNA from 1 species
GCGGCUCACUACGGGCGCCGAGUCGGACCUUGUGCCAUUCCCCUUCAACGGGGCGAUGGUACGAUGAAAGACGAAGCUGAGAUUGUACCGUAAUAACUCGAUCAAGAUAAUGCUUGCGUGGGGAACGUGCUGCCGCUAUCCA